GACGAACGCUGGCGGCGUGCCUAAUACAUGCAAGUCGAACGCUGAAGGAGGGCCUUUCUCUUCUGGACGAGUUGCGAACGGGUGAGUAACACGUGGGUAACCUGCCUGUUAGCGGGGGAUAACUCUUGGAAACGAUAGCUAAUACCGCAUAACAGCUGAUGUUGCAUGAUGUUUGCUUAAAAGGUGCGAUUGCACCGCUACCAGAUGGACCUGCGUUGUAUUAGGUAGUGGGUGGGGUAACGGCUCACCAAGGCGACGAUACAGAGCCGCACUGGGAGGGUGGUCGGCCACACUGGGAAUGGGACACGGCCCAGACUCCUUCGGGAGGCAGCAGUAGGGAAUCUUCGGCAAUGGGCGGAAGUCUGAGCGAGCAGAGCCGCGGGAGUGGAGAAGGUUUUCGGGUCGUAAAGAUCUGUUGUAAGAGGAGAAAGAGCGUGAGAGUGGAAAGUUCCGACUGUGACGGUAUCUUAUCAGAAAGGGACGGCUAACUACGUG
rnacentral:rRNA from 1 species